rnacentral:sRNA from 1 species
CCGUUUCAAGGCCCACCUGGGGAACGA